GCCAGAUGGAGUGGUAGCUGUUGAACCUGUUCCAGAUGGACUAGUGCCAGAUGGUGUAGUGCCAGACGGAGUAGUAGCUGUUGAACCCGUGUCAGAUGGGCCAGUAGCUGUGGAACCCGUGCCAGAUGGGCCAGUAGCUGUGGAACCCGUGCCAGAUGGGCCAGUAGCUGUGGAACCAGUUCCAGAUGGACUACUGCCACUUGAACUCGAUUGAGUAACAGAACUUGACACUUCUGAACCGGGAGAGGACGAUGAAGCAAUAGAGCUCGAAACAUCCGAAGAUGAUGUUAAUUGAGUGAGAGAACUCGAAACAUCCGGAGUUGAUGAAGUCGAUUGAGUAAUAGAACUACUAAUAGAAAAAGAACUUGAUGAGGUUGAUGAAAAAGAAGAUGAUGAGCUGUUGCUUGGAAUUGUAGUGCUAUUUGGAUAGUACUGACCUAGUACACCUUGUGAAUAAAGGGCUAAAGCUAAAGCAGCUUGAAACUUAUUAAAGCGAUUGAGC
rnacentral:lncRNA from 1 species